rnacentral:rRNA from 1 species
CCUACGGGACGCAGCAGUGAGGAAUAUUGGUCAAUGGGCGGUAGCCUGAACCAGCCAAGUAGCAUGAAGGAUGAAGGUUCUAUGGAUUGUAAUCUUCUUUUAUAUGGGAAUAAAGUUUCCACGUGUGGAAUUUUGUAUGUACCAUAUGAAUAAGGAUCGGCUAACUCCGUGCCAGCAGCCGCGGUAAUACGGAGGAUCCGAGCGUUAUCCGGAUUUAUUGGGUUUAAAGGGAGCGUAGGUGGACAGUUAAGUCAGUUGUGAAUGUUUGCGGCUCAACCGUAAAAUUGCAGUUGAUACUGGCUGUC